AUGCUCACUUCGUCAGCACAUGUACUAAAACUGUAAUGAGACAGAGAACAUUAGCAUGGCCCCUACACAAGGAUGACAUGCAAAUUCGUGAAGCAUUCCAUAUUUUU